CCGAGAGAGGCGUCCGCCUCGGGGGGCCUUGCGCCCCCGACUCUUCACCCGUGCGCUGUCCACCCGUGUUGCUUUGACGGCUCGGCCGUCGGAGAAAACCUGCCAAAACUCUGAUUAUCAGUGUCGUCCGAGUCGCACCGAAUAACCA
rnacentral:misc_RNA from 1 species